UAUCUCCUACGGGGCGCAGCAGCCGCGGUAAUACGUAGGUGGCAAGCGUUAUCCGGAUUUAUUGGGCGUAAAGCGAGCGCAGGCGGUUGCUUAGGUCUGAUGUGAAAGCCUUCGGCUUAACCGAAGAAGUGCAUCGGAAACCGGGCGACUUGAGUGCAGAAGAGGACAGUGGAACUCCAUGUGUAGCGGUGGAAUGCGUAGAUAUAUGGAAGAACACCAGUGGCGAAGGCGGCUGUCUGGUCUGCAACUGACGCUGAGGCUCGAAAGCAUGGGUAGCGAACAGGAUUAGAAACCCGGGUAGUCCC
rnacentral:rRNA from 1 species